rnacentral:rRNA from 1 species
UACAGAGGUCUCAAGCGUUGUUCGGAUUCAUUGGGCGUAAAGGGUGCGUAGGUGGCGCUGUAAGUCAGGUGUGAAAUUUCGGAGCUUAACUCCGAAACUGCAUUUGAUACUGCGGAUCUUGAGCCACCUAGGGGCAACCGGAACAAGCGGUGGAGCGGUGAAAUGCGUAGAUAUCGCUUGGAACGCCAAUGGUGAAAACAGGUUGCUGGGGGUGUGCUGACGCUGAGACACGAAAGCCAGGGGAGCAAACGGG